rnacentral:rRNA from 1 species
AUUGAACGCUGGCGGCAGGCUUAACACAUGCAAGUCGAGCGAGCGGCGGACGGGUGAGUAAUGUCUGGGCAACUGCCUGAUGGAGGGGGAUAACUACUGUACACGGUAGCUAAUACCGCAUCCCAUCAGAUGUGCCCAGAUGGGAUUAGCUAGUAGGUGGGGUAAUGGCUCACCUAGGCGACGAUCCCUAGCUGGUCUGAGAGGAUGACCAGCCACACUGGAACUGAGAGACGGUACAGACGCCUACGGGAGGCAGCAGGGGGGAAGAGUGCACAAUGGGCGCAAGCCUGAGGCAGCCAUGCCGCGUGUGGGAAGAAGGCCUUCGGGUUGUAAAGCACUCGAAGCGAGGAGGCGUUACUCGCAGAAGAAGCAACGGCUAACUCCGUGCCAGCAGCCGCGGUAAUUC